rnacentral:sRNA from 1 species
CAGUACGAGGUAUGAUGUAUUAUAGGAGAGCUCUGAUGCUGCAGAGUUAUCUAGAAGGGAGGUCACUG